CCUCUAGCGCAGGCGCAGAGAGUGCUCCAAUAUGGCCGCCUCCGUGGAUCUGGAGUUGAAGAAGGCCUUCACAGAGCUUCAAGCCAAAGUUAUCGAUACUCAACAGAAGGUGAAGCUUGCAGACAUACAGAUUGAACAGCUAAACAGAACGAAAAAGCACGCACACCUUACGGACACAGAGAUCAUGACUCUGGUAGAUGAGACUAACAUGUACGAAGGUGUAGGAAGAAUGUUUAUUCUACAGUCCAAGGAAGUAAUUCACAACCAGCUGUUAGAAAAACAGAAAAUAGCAGAAGAAAAAAUUAAAGAGCUGGAGCAGAAGAAGUCCUACCUGGAGCAGAGUGUCAAGGAGGCUGAGGACAAUAUCCGGGAGAUGCUGAUGGCUCGGAGGGCACAGUAGGAGCUGCUGGGAAGCGCCUUCCCUUCUGAUCCCUCACAUCCUGUCACCGCAGGGGCUGUGCAGGGUACUGCCCUUCCUCUGCCCAGCGGCCCCAUCUCUCCAUCACCCUGAGCCCCUCAGGUCCCAACUGAAUGUCUGCCAACCCCUGCUCAGGACACUCUUCUUUCCUGGGGCAAGCCAGGAGCUCUCAACAGAGGGAAGACUGGAGGGCAGAUGGAGAAAGCUGACCAAGCCUCUCACUAGGCAUGUGGGUUAGACCAGGUUAGACCAAUAAAAAGCUAUGUUUUUAAAAAACAAACAAACAAACAAAAAACCACAGGCUGUCUUAAGGAGAACAGAAAGACCCAUUGGUAAGCCUUGCGGAAAAUAUCUUACCAAAAAAGAAUCCUUACAAAAGCAAGUCCUCUGCUCACUCUGUUAUCCACCAAAACAUUCCCAACCAAAUCACUUCUCCA